rnacentral:rRNA from 1 species
AUUGAACGCUGGCGGCAUGCUUUACACAUGCAAGUCGAACGGUAACAGGCCGCCAGGUGCUGCCGAGUGGCGAACGGGUGAGUAAUGCAUCGGAACGUGCCCAGUCUUGGGGGAUAACUACUCGAAAGAGUAGCUAAUACCGCAUACGAUCUAUGGAUGACAGCGGGGGACCGUAAGGCCUCGCGCGAUUGGAGCGGCCGAUGUCAGAUUAGGUAGUUGGUGGGGUAAAGGCUCACCAAGCCAACGAUCUGUAGCUGGUCUGAGAGGACGACCAGCCACACUGGGAAUGAGACACGGCCCAGACUCAUACGGGAGGCAGCAGUGGGGAAUUUUGGACAAUGGGCGCAAGCCUGAUCCAGCAAUGCCGCGUGCAGGAAGAAGGCCUUCGGGUUGUAAACUGCUUUUGUACGGAACGAAACGGCUCUGGUUAAUACCCGGGGCUAAUGACGGUACCGUAAGAAUAAGCACCGGCUAACUACGUG